CUAACUGCCAAGCCCAAGUUCUUAUCAGGUGCCUCUCCCACCUCCUCACUCAGCUUCUAAAACUGCCCCCCUCUUAGUUCCACUCUCUCACUCCAUGGAGUAGAAGGCAUUUUGUGUGACUUGCAAGUCUCAGAGAAGCCAGGCCCAGCUCCUGGGCUGUGCUCAGCCCCACCGGGGGCACCUGAGCCCCAGGCAUAGCUCGUCCAGCCCUAGACUUACCCUUGGCCGGCCGAGCUCAACAGCCUUGGGCGGUAGGAUGUCCUGACUGUCCUUAGCGGCUCUUGCCUUGAAGGAAGAGUUGAGGCAACACAGGUCUGGCAGCCGCAAGCCCAGGAUCAAGGUGUUGGCGGAUCUGAAGGCUACUGAACGAUUGUCUUCCUGGCUUGUAGGCGGCCUCUCCUUGUUGUAUCCUUACUGGUGGAGAGCGGAGCGGAAGCAAGCUCUCUCUUGUCUUUUUAUAGGGGCUUUCAUCCAUCUACACGGGCUCCACCCUUUUGACCUAAUUACCUCCCCAAGGCCCCAUAUUCAAAUACCGUCACACCAGUUGAGGUUUCAACAUAUGAACUUGGCAGGGGCAGAAGGCAAACAUUUCAGCCAUAGCCCUGAGCUAACCCUAAGACUCCCCAGCAUAGCGGGGAGGUUGCAGUGAGCUGAGAUCACGCCACUGCACUCCAGCCUGGGCAACAGAGCAAGACUCUGUCUCAAAAAAAAAAAAAAAAA
rnacentral:lncRNA from 1 species